CAAGGGUAGGGGCAGCCUGGCAAGGGUAAGGGGCAGCCUGGCAAGGUUAAAGGUCAGCCUGGCAAGGGUAGGUGUCAGCCUGGCAAGAGUGGGGGCCAGCCUGGCAAGGUUAAAGGUCAGCCUGCAAGGGUAGGGGAUGAGCAGAUGCAGAGGCUUCUUUGGAAACCACAGGAUGAAGAAGUCAGGCCGACAGGGUGAGCUGCUCCCCUCCACCUGCCACAUUCUUCAGCCCAGAUGAUGGUCGGAGGCAAUGGCCAUUUGGACACUGAAGAGCACACGCCCAGCCUGACAUGUGCUUUCCGUUCAAGAUGCUUGUUUUCUUUUUCUUUCUUUUUUCUCUUUCUUUCUUUUUUUUUCUUUCUUUCUUUCUUUCUUUCUUUCUUUCUUUCUUUCUUUCUUUCUUUCUUUCUUUCUUCCUUCCUUUCUCUCUCUCUCUCUCUCUCUCUCUCUCUCUCUCUCUCUUUCUCUUUUCUUCUUCUUUUCUUUUUUGUUUUUGGAGACAGGGUUUCUCUGUGUAGCUUUGGCUGUCCUGUGUAGCUUUGGCUGUCCUGGAACUCACUCUGUUGACCAGUCUGGCUUGAACUCACAGAUCUGCCUGCCUCUGCCUCCCUAGGGCUGGGUUUAAAGGUGUGCGCUACCACACACACACAUGGCUAGGAUUUUUUUUUCCUUAGACAGGAUCUUACUAUAUAAACUUUGGUGGUCUGGAACUUCUGGACAUAGAACAGACUGACCUUGGACUCAGCUGCUUGUCUCUACCUCUUGAUUUUAUUUUGAUUUUUCAAGUGUUUCUAUGUGUGGACCUGAGGAAGUUAGAAAAGAGAGUCAGCUAUCCUAGAUCUGGAGUUAUAGAUGAUGGUGAGCUUCAUAACAUGGGUGCUGGCAACCACACUAGGGUCCUCCAGUGGCCUUGAACUCCUAAUCCUCCUCCUUCUACCUCAAUGUGAUGGGAUCACACUACUUCCAGUUAAACUCGGGGUCCCUCAGUGAGGUACUCCUGAGCCUUCCCCCUGUCCCAUGCCUCCCUGCUCAUUGGUAGAGCUCGGACAGGAAGGAACCGGGGAAGGGGAAACCAGGGCUCUGGGCAACAUGCCACGGAGGCUGCCCUAAGGCCCAGCCUCCUCUGUGGCUGGAAAUACCCACCGUGUUGUUCCUGGCCCUAGCUUUCCAGGCAUCUCCUGGGUUUGGCAGAUGUAGCCGAGGCAGCUGUGGGGUCG
rnacentral:lncRNA from 1 species